GACGAACGCUGGCGGCGUGCCUAAUACAUGCAAGUCGAACGAAGUGGGGACGGGUGAGUAACACGUGGGUAACAUACCAUCAGAGGGGAUAACACUUGGAAACAGGUGCUAAACAGAUCCUGAUGGAUGGACCCGCGGUGCAUUAGCUAGUUGGUGAGGUAAAGUCUCAACAAGGCCACGAUGCAUAGCCGAACUGAUAGGGUGAUCGGCCACACUGGGACUGAGACACGGCACAGACUCCUACGGGAGGCAGCAGUAGGGAAUCUUAGGCAAUGGACGCAAGUCUGACCGAGCAACGCCGCGUGAGUGAAGAAGGUUUUCGGAUCGUAAAACUCUGUUGUUAGAGAAGCGGUAUCUAACCAGAAAGCCACUGCUAACUACGUGCCAGCCGCCGCGGUAAUAC
rnacentral:rRNA from 1 species